rnacentral:lncRNA from 1 species
AGAAAAAUUCAAGACAGAGAAGCCCAGCAGACGGAAAGGCCUACAGCAUGCGGCUCAAAGGCAUGGCCCACAACCCUAUUGCAGCAUGUACGGCCCAGGUAGGGCCUAUUGUGCAUGGGCAUGUGGAUGUGUGAGGCCCAUGAUGCAUGUGGGUACACACUAUCCAGAGGGAUUUUUUGUGCAAUCUAUGACUAGAUCUUGAUGCGGUCGUGAUCGGAUGGCCAUGAAAGCUUGUAGGGGUUUCUGAGUCUUGUUG